CAAGUGCAUUAUCUAAACCCUUCUUGAGCACUGUCGAGCUUGGUGCUGUGACCACUUCCCUGGGGAGCCUGUUUCAACACACCAAGCUCUUGGCUCAGGGCUUCACCUCUGUGAAAGAAAAGAUGUGGUACACCAUGUUUUGAAGAACAUAAGCAGAUUUGAUAGAAGUCUGGAAGUAAGGACCUACUUUCAUGUGAAUGGAAAUUUAAGACUGCAUGGAUUUCACUCCUGUCUCUCAAGCAGUCAUUGCGGACCAUAUUUCUUGGAAAAAAAGACCCUCAUUUCAGACAGGUUUAGAAGGUAAGCUGAUACAAGAAAAUGACAGCCAAAUCUGAAAAGUCUUUCUCUCCAUUAUCCAUGUCUGCCAAGGUACCCAUCUAGUGUAGCAGAAAGAUGCCUCAGGCAAGGCAAGUAUAUUUCGAUCUCUGGCAGCAAAGAGCAUUGGUGCUAUGGAAGGGCUGUGGAAUGGUAGAAUUUCCAAUACAUUUCUGGCAUCUUUCCAGGGGAGACUUUUCAAAAGCAGAGCAUGUGUUUUUCAGAAAGAAAUAGCAUUCAUCUACACAGAUUUGCAGACAGCAGCAGUUGGACUCCUGAAUACUGAUGUCCUGAUACUGGAAGAGCUAGAGCUAGUUCAGGGACCACAUUGCCUGUUCCUGUAUACAUGACAGCCAACAGGAUAAAGUGCUUGGGGCAGUCUCCCAAAUGCAAAGCAGCUCUGUGCAUCAUACAGAGGUUUGCAGCAAGAGUUUUGACAAAGUCAAAUGCAAUAAGACUUUACCAUUCUCUGGAAUUGUCAGCAUUUUGAGCCCAAAGUGGUAAAAGUGAAAUACUUGUGUUAUUAAACACUUGGUUAAACCACACAGAAACCAGCAGCUGGGGGAAUUAUAAUUAUCUGUUUCGAUACAGUUGCAAGAAAACGAGUGGCUCUGAUUUCUCUCACAUAUGGGGGAGCUGCAACUGUAGCAGUUUCACUUCCAUCUCAAAGACGAGCACAAGCACCCAGGAGGAGCAGAACUGCCUCAACUCUUCUUAUUCUGCUGGAAAUAUUAUGUAUCUGCAGGAGAAACUGCUGCAAGAAAAGAGAUGCUGAAAAAAGGGAGGAAGCAAAGAACAGACUAACAAAGAAUACAUAUGAUAGGUAUAGAAGGACGGGCAGAACGGCUUCAGAGAGAAAGCCUGGAGAGUUUUUGGGUUGGGUGCUAGUUCAAAGAGAUUCUUUUUUCAUUGCUUGGUGCUUUUUGUUGUUGUUGUUGUUUGAUUCCUGCCACAGUCAGGUCAAGUAGAUUAGAAUGCAUAACAGCUAUCUAGAUUCUGCACGAAUUUCCCUUUCUACCACACCGCACUUCAGUUGAGUGUUUGUAUGAGCACACAAGUUAACCUCCCUGGAAACUGAAGGAAAUGCAGCUACUGUCCUCCACAGAAGAGAGUCACAAGAAGCCAUUAAUUUCCUUUAUGUGACCAGGCAGGUGAUAUGAAAAUUACCAGCUGGUGUGUUUGAACUUCAUUCUGCCCUGAAUUUAGGAUGAAGCUGCCCCAGGUCCCUGCUUCACUAGUGUUUCAUCAGCUGGCAUUUUGAAAGCUGCUUUUUCACAACACUGAGUUUUAAUUUGCAAUAAAGCAGUCAUUCUUUAGGAGAUCAAACACAUUAAAAAUGAAAAAUAAGGAUCUUCUGAGAUCCAAAUAUGUCAGCACCAUUUUGAUCCUAUGAAUUUGUACUUGUAUCUCUUCUAUGUCCUUUUCCUAAGGUUUCUAUUUCUCACCCCUCUAUUUAAGUCUGAGGGAUGCAGGAAAAGCUACCCCUUCACCUUGUCCCUUCACACAAUAAACACUGAAUGAAGUUCAUACUGCAAGCAUUGGCAGUAGAAUCUCUCGCUCACCAGCAAAAAAGAUUAAAAGUGUCUCUUGGCACAUCUCA